rnacentral:misc_RNA from 1 species
AACGCAUAUUGCGCCCUUUGGCAUUCCGAAGGGCAUACCUGUUCGAGCGUCAUUACACCUCUCAAAGAUAACUCUUUGGCGUUGGGCAAUGCCUUAAAGGCAUGCCUCAAAAUCAGCGAUGGUGAUAUUCAACCACAGGCGCACAAACGUCGUCUAGCUGGCGGGAUGUUGUCAGUCAAUUGAUGAAUUUCUAAUUGUUGACCUCGGAUCAGGUAGGAAUACCCGCUGAACUUAA